UAUUUAUGGGACGCCGAUUUUCUUUGCAAUCGAGUGAGUGUUUUUCGAUUUCCACGUUUAUUUGUUUGUUGGAAAAAAAGACGUUCAUGUUGAUUACUCCAUUUUUCAAUAUUCCUAAUAACAAACACUAAAAAGGGUACAUAUUUAACUUCUUUUUACUGAAUUUUUUUCUAUUAUUCUGUUAAAUCAAAUGAAAAAUCG